ensembl:lncRNA novel transcript
AGUCCUGGAAAUGAUCUUGAUGCUAUCUGUUCCUCGUUACAGCAGACCUGCUCAACUUCAGCAGCUAGAAGGAGGAUUGUCUUUCACCAGCUGCAGGAGCCUGUUCCCACUACAAGCCUGGUGGAGUCUUCGGAGCAGAUGUGACUGUCCUACUUGUAUAGAGAAGAGAAACUGAGGCUCAGAAGAGAUGCCUGGCUGAGUUUAAUAGGACUGCAACAACAAUUUUGCCUUUCUACUUUCUGCUCACCGAAGAAGACAGGAAAACUUGUCAGAUGGGGAAGGAUGUGUCAAGAGCAUGCACACAGAUUUACUCUUCAGCUAGAAGCUCCAAUUCCUAGAUGAUCUGAAUCCAACUCAGAGUGCUUGCACCUGUUUCCUGCCACACAGCUAGAGCUGUGUCCCUCUAGGUUCUCUGAUUGGCUGAAGCUACUCUAAGCCAAGAGAUCAAAGAAGCUGAUAAUGUAGAAUGUAAGUUUGUCUCCUGGGCCACAAUGGAAAGCAGAGACUGUAGCUGGAGGAGUGAAUAGAGGAUAUGCAGCUCUGGUAAUUCUCAGUACAAUUCCCAGUGGUCCACUCUGCAGAAUGAACCAAGUUCCAUUUUGCCCAACUUCUGGCAGUCCACAUUUGGACUGUGAGCUCACCUACAGAUAAAUCGUACGUGGAUUGAUGCAGUAACUGGAUUUGUAGCUGCUAAAUCUUAUUUAAGUGAGGACCUGUCCAGUACAUGUGAAGACCACCCAUCCACUGAAAGUGAUAAGUGAAGCUGAAUCAAUACUAGACUGAAUCAAUACUGAGCUGAAUCAAUACUUUCCCAAUUUUGAGGAAAUCUUGGAAAAUCUCUGAGAAAUGUGGUAGUAAUUAUUUUGAAGAAUUGGAAAACUUUAUAGCUGAUUAUGCUAUGUGUGGAAGAUACAACAGGAUUAUAAGAGAGAGAAGACAAUAUCCUUGCUGUGUCCAGAAGGCUUUAGCCGGGGUGUCCUACUGAGAGAUGACAAACUUAAGGUUUUUCUCUUCCCAGACAUUACUGGACAACUAGCUAUGUAAUUAGGUCUUAUGCCGAAAAGACUGAAAGGAAAACAUCUCAGAUCUAGGAAUGUGAUCAAGAAAGAAGGCUGGUUAAAGAAUAACAUGGGGAAAAUGAAUGCAGUGAAAUGGUUCACGCACAAGUUCUAGGAAUUCAGAGUGCAACAGCAGAAAUGCGAUUUUUGUUAGAUAUUUCAGAAAGUGAUGUGAGUCCCUGAGGUCAUACUGCAGCGUUCAGGUUCUGUUUGGCCUCCUGCACGAAGCUUUCCUUGAUUGGAAAAGCUGCAUACUCUGAAGCACAUCGCAUGUGUCCUGUCUGUAGUUCAUUUCAUUUCCCCAGAUUUGUUAUCAUCCACCAUCACUCAUACAAGCCUACCUUCUUCAUGCCAACCUUUGUAAUCUUUCUACCUUGCUAACCUGGUCAUGUCAAGGACCAGCUAAUAAAUAGCAAAGUUGUACCUUGAGCCAAGGUAUCUUGACUCUUAGUCCAGUGCUCUUUAUAUACCUCUGAAGUCUUAUUUGAGCUUCAAAAUUAUGAGUCUGUGCUCUCAAGAUUUUUUUGAAAAUGUACUUAAUGUUGCCCCUAAGCUUUUAUGAGAAAUAAUAAAGUUCUUUCCAGAUUGAA